rnacentral:rRNA from 1 species
UUUAGAGUUUGAUCCAUGGCUCAGAUUGAACGCUGGCGGCGUGCUUAACACAUGCAAGUCGAACGGCAGCACGGUACCGGGCAACCGGUAUGGGUGGCGAGUGGCGGACGGGUGAGUAAUGCUUAGGAAUCUGCCCAGUGGUGGGGGACAACCACGCGAAAGCGUGGCUAAUACCGCAUACGCCUUACGGGGGAAAGCGGGGGACCUUUGGGCCUCGUGCCAUUGGAUGAGCCUAAGUCCGAUUAGCUAGUUGGUAGGGUAAUGGCCUACCAAGGCGACGAUCGGUAGCUGGUCUGAGAGGACGACCAGCCACACUGGGACUGAGAUACGGCCCAGACUCCUACGGGAGGCAGCAGUGGGGAAUAUUGGACAAUGGGGGAAACCCUGAUCCAGCGAUGCCGCGUGUGUGAAGAAGGCCUGCGGGUUGUAAAGCACUUUCAGUAGGGAG